AUUGAACGCUGGCGGCAUGCCUUACACAUGCAAGUCGAACGGCAGCACGGGAGCAAUCCUGGUGGCGAGUGGCGAACGGGUGAGUAAUACAUCGGAACGUGCCCUGUAGUGGGGGAUAACUAGUCGAAAGACUAGCUAAUACCGCAUACGACCUGAGGGUGAAAGUGGGGGACCGCAAGGCCUCAUGCUAUAGGAGCGGCCGAUGUCUGAUUAGCUAGUUGGUGGGGUAAAGGCCUACCAAGGCGACGAUCAGUAGCUGGUCUGAGAGGACGAUCAGCCACACUGGGACUGAGACACGGCCCAGACUCCUACGGGAGGCAGCAGUGGGGAAUUCUGGACAAUGGGGGCAACCCUGAUCCAGCAAUGCCGCGUGUGUGAAGAAGGCCUUCGGGUUGUAAAGCACUUUUGUCCGGAAAGAAAUCGCGCUGGUUAAUACCUGGCGUGGAUGACGGUACCGGAAGAAUAAGCACCGGCUAACUACGUGCCAGCAGCCGCGGUAACAC
rnacentral:rRNA from 1 species